UGUAAAGGAAUAGCAGCGGUACGAGUCGCUCCGUGCGUCGCAUAAUAUUCUAUAAAACUUAAACAUUUUCUACGAAUAAAAAUUGAUCAUCGCUUAUGAUUUGCGACUCGUGAACGUGUCGAAGCAUCUACUAUUCGUCAAAGGUACAGUAAUUUUCCGAAUUGAAGCGAGGGGAGCAACAGGUGCAGUGUCGCGGUGGCUGCCCGAUUUCUGAACAUUCUCGUCUCUGCCAGAUUCAUGACGAUGCUAACUGCGUACCGCAUGAAAUUCGUAAGACAUCGCGAUAAAAGAUGAAUAUUGUGUAACCGGAAAACCGAGGAGAAACCUAAUAAUUUGAGGAUAGGAGUCAGAGGAUUCUGAGAAGAGGAGAAGCCCUAGCAAAUCAUUGGCGGAGCAACUCUAAGAUUAACAUAACUACAGUGAAGUUACAACUCCGCUGUUAAGCAUCAUAUCUGUAA